GAUGAACGCUGGCGGCGUGCCUAAUACAUGCGAGUAGAACGCUGAAGGAGGAGCUUGCUCUUCUGGAUGAGUUGCGAACGGGUGAGUAACGCGUAGGUAACCUGCCUGGUAGCGGGGGAUAACUAUUGGAAACGAUAGCUAAUACCGCAUGACAACAGUUAUUGCAUGAUAACUGUUUAAAAGGGGCAACUGCUCCACUACCAGAUGGACCUGCGUUGUAUUAGCUAGUUGGUGAGGUAACGGCUCACCAAGGCGACGAUACAUAGCCGACCUGAGAGGGGGAUCGGCCACACUGGGACGGAGACACAGCCCAGACUCCUACGAGAGGCAGCAGUAGGGAAUCUUCGGCAAUGGACGGAAGUCUGACCGAGCAACGCCGCGUGAGUGAAGAAGGUUUUCGGAUCGUAAAGCUCUGUUGUAAGAGAAGAACGAGUGUGAGAGUGGAAAGUUCACACUGUGACGGUAUCUUACCAGAAAGGGACGGCUAACUACGUG
rnacentral:rRNA from 1 species